rnacentral:tRNA from 2 species
GGAAAUGUAGCGAAGAUGGAAAACGCGACGGUCUGUAAAACCGUUCCUUCGGGUUCGUAGGUUCGAUUCCUACCAUUUCCA